CCUACGGGAGGCAGCAGUGGGGAAUAUUGCACAAUGGGGGAUACCCUGAUGCAGCGACGCCGCGUGAGUGAAGAAGUAUUUCGGUAUGUAAAGCUCUAUCAGCAGGGAAGAAAAUGGCGGUAACUGAUUUAGAAGCCCCGGCUAACUACGUGCCAGCAGCCGCGGUAAUACGUAGGGGGCAAGCGGUAUCCGGAUUUACUGGGUGGAAAGGGAGCGGAGACGGGAGCACAAGUCUGGAGGGAAAUGCCGGGGCUUAACCCCGGGACUGCUUUGGAAACUGUGCAGCUAGAGUGCAGGAGAGGUAAGUGGAAUUCCUAGUGUAGCGGUGAAAUGCGUAGAUAUUAGGAGGAACACCAGUGGCGAAGGCGGCUUACUGGACUGUAACUGACGUUGAGGCUCGAAAGCGUGGGGAGCAAACAGGAUUAGAUACCCGAGUAGUC
rnacentral:rRNA from 1 species